rnacentral:sRNA from 1 species
AAAGCGAACAUGAGUCAAUGCGCAUGUGGCGCGCGGAAGUUGAGCGACACUGCCCG